UGGCCCCUUUAAGAGUUAGGUUCCGGUUGUUUUCCUUCAGUUCGCGGUAAGCGCAGCUGGGGAAAGGUCAAUGUUGAAAUUGUGGAGAAAGGCCACGGAUUGACACUUUUUUCAUAAAUUUUCCUUUUUAUUCAUUCAGGUAUGUUCUCUAUCCAUGUUUCUGUUAAUAUUGUUGUUUUGAAUUCAUGUGAAAUGUUUUACAUUGAGAAAAAUGUUAAAUAUUGUUGAUUUAAUCAUAUGCAGUUCAUUUAAUAAUUGUAAUAUGAUGGCAGUUCGCGGUAAGCGCAGCUGGGGAAAGAUCAAUGUUGAAAUUGUGGAGAAAGGCCACGGAUUGACACUUUUUUCAUAAAUUUUCCUUUUUAUUCAUUCAGAAUAAAAAAAGUGGUCCAAAGAA